AAUAGAAGCCUUCCCCUCUGAGAGGCAGGGAGAGGAAGAGCUGGUUGGAUACUGUGUGCAUGCUCUGCUGUAGAGAGUGGGAACACCAUAAUAUUGCAUGCUUGAGGGAGGAGAAAAGUAGAAGAAGGGAGGGGGAAAAGUGUAAAUGCCUCUUGCUUGGUGACAAAUUGGUAGUUAGAACUUACUCUCCUUCAGCCAGUAGAGCUUGCAUCAAAUCAGGAUAUGAUAUAUAGCCUUUGAGAAAGCUGAUAGCUUGUAUUUGUGCACCUUGGUCUCCAUUACUGGAUUUGAUGGCUGGUGUAUGGUAGCUGUUCUGGUAGUGAAUGUCAAGGGAAGAGGAGGAAGGGUUCCUUGAGAACCUGUUGCAGGGAAAAAAAAAAAACAAAAAACAGAGGAAGCCAAAAGUAAGCAGGAUAUGAAACUUGCUUGUGAAGCAUACCACUGGA